GCGGAGAGCCGAUUCUGAUGACGUCAACCCCCAAC
rnacentral:tRNA from 1 species